AUUGAACGCUGGCGGCAGGCCUAACACAUGCAAGUCGAGCGGAUGAAGGGAGCUCGCUCCUGGAUUCAGCGGCGGACGGGUGGGUAAUGCCUAGGAAUCUGCCUGGUAGUGGGGGAUAACGUCCGGAAACGGGCGCUAAUAUCGCAUACGUCCUGAGGGAGAAAGUGGUGGAUCCUCGGUCCUCACGCUAUCAGAUGAGCCUAGGUCGGAUUAGCCAGUUGGUGGGGUAAAGGCCUACCAAGCCGACGAUCCGUAACUGGUUUGAGAGGAUGAUCAGUCAGCCUGGAACUGAGACACGGUCCAGACUCCUACGGGAGGCGGCGGUGGGGAACAUUGGACAUUGGGCGAAGGCCUAAUCCAGCCAUGCCGGGUGUGUGAAGAAGGUCUUCGGUUUUUAAAGCACUUUAAGUUGGGAGGAAGGGCAGUAAGGUAAUACCUUGCUGUUUUGACGUUACCAACAGAGUAAGCACCGGCUAACUUCGUG
rnacentral:rRNA from 1 species